rnacentral:lncRNA from 1 species
AUUCAGUAUGACCGAGCUUUCACGCGAAAGAAAAAAUGUGUUUAAUCAAGACACAAAAUUAACAAUAUUUCGAUAAUGACUCUGUGAUUUGCUCUUGCAAAUCAAAUGCAAGACACUUAGGGCAUAAUAAAAGAAUAUGUGCUGUUUUCAAAACAAAACAAAUGAAAAGGACAAGAACUAUGCAUGGGAUGGCCACACAGACAUCAAGGGAAUGCAGACGGACCAGUCUGCAAACUCAUAGUGUUCAGGAAAUGCCAGCCUGAAAUCGAACAGACAGAAGCUCAAAGAUCCUUGAGAGAUCCACAUUGCUUCAUCGAUUUGUAAAGGAGUGUACGGAACAUGGAACAUCACUGAUAUUUCCUGGAACCACAGCAGAUGGUCUUCCUGUCAUGGAUAGCUGGUCUGUGUCCAUCGGGAUAGCAGUGGGAUUCUCUGUCCUCGCCUUCCUGCUCCUCGGCUGCCUGAUCCACCAUUUCUGGAAGAAGAUGUCCUGCUGCAAAUGCAAGAAGCCUUCAGUUAAGGACAGAGUGUUAUCGAAAGUUGGCAUCAAGAAGUCCUCGUCACCCUUCUCCAUCAGCAGGAUCGUAGACAAGAAAUAGCCUCUAAUGUUUGACUUAAAGUUCUAAUUUAUUCUGUAUUCUGAACACUGCUCAUCAUGUUUUUUGUCUG